GAGCCAGCUCAGCUCAGCGGCUCCAUCGACCAACGUAUUGCUUUCAGCGGUUUGAGACCCGCGGGCCCUGCCUGGCUU